CAUUCUGUCGUUUACUGUGCCAUCUCGGGACAGCCUGUGUGGAAAGGUAAACACAGGAGGGAGUGUCUGUCCAGCCCAGGGCUUCAAUCGAGCCAACGGCGCCAUCUACAGGUUUUGAGGAGUAACUACACCCACUGACGGGCAUUUCAAGACGGCUUACAGUCCUGGGAGCUCCCACACGCUGCCCGUUAGUGGUCUUCCCUCAUCAAGCACAUCUGACUCAGCUCACUAACUAAUUAACAAGCUCAUCGUGUACUUGUCCAGGUGUGUUAAAUUAGGGAAAACACAAAACAUUUAACUGUGUUAGACGUACAUAUACUGCAUAUAUUUCCGUACUGCAAUAUGGGAAGAGUUUUUGACCUAGAUAUAAGUAAUUCUAAUUUGUUUCAGUAAUAGCUUAACUAUAUGUGAGGGAUAAUUCUUCCAUGCAGUAUAUUCUGAAGUACUGGUUAUGCUUUGCUGUCAGUGGGGAAAGACCCAAAUCUAGUUUAAACAUCCCAUUGAUUCACUUGUAUUUCCAAUUUGUAUUGUACUGUAAAGUUUUUUUUAUGUUAACAUUAAUUCUUUGUUUACUUUUUCACUUCACAUGUGCCUUCUCCAUUAUGUUGUAGGUACUGUUUAACAAUAUUUUACUGUUGUUCUUCAACAGAAUGCUGCCUGACUUCUGACUGUCGCUUUGUAAUGUCUGUGUGAGUUUGUGUUAGGUUGUUGGCAGAACCUUUCAGGGGUCGGUUAAGGCAAGGCCUGUUGCACAGUCCAUAUGGCUCUAUUCUGAAGGGGCCUCCGAGCUCUUUAUGGAAAUAUACAAGGAGAGAACAGAGUGUGAUCAUUAACAUUUGAAAGUAGGUGUGUGUGUGUGUGUGUGUGUGUGUGCGCGCGCAUGUAGUGUGUACAUGCGCCUGUGUGUCUUUCUGUUUUUCUCUGUGUGCACGCUGGUGAUUUACUGUCCCAUUAGGAUGGAGCACCCUCAGUAGCCGAGGGGGAUUCCCAAUUUGGUGAAGGUUAUGUGGUCAUUUGCAAGACACUGGGUAUGUGUGGGUGGGUGGGGUGGGGGUGUAGGGGAGAGGGGUCAGGGUGCCAGCAGCUGCUCACUACUGAUGGUGUUCCACUUCUGUUCUCUGUCCUCUACAUCCGCCUGAGGAGAAGCAGCAGGGAGAGCACCCAAACAGAGACGCCCUCUCGUGUCAGUCGGCUGAUGAGUGAGGAGACAUGGAAGUCAGAGAGGGAGAGAGAAAAAGAGAAAUACAGGAUGUUUUCUUUCAGAUUCUGUCAGUAUAAUUUUGCGAUAUGACACAUAGCACAAAUUACAUCACACAUUUGAAACAUAAGUGGUUCUUAGCUUGGACAUGCAAUCUUCACACACAGAAAACUUUAAUUUACAUAAUAUGGAUGUUCUUUAAACUUUAAAACAGCUUGCACAUUUCUUUUACAGAAAAAUGGUUCUGUAAAGAACUAUUAAUUGAAGGUUCUUUAGAGGACUAGAAGUGGUUCUUCUAUAGCAUCGCUUGAAAAAAAAUUUUGGUCAUUUUAUUUUAGAUUUGAAGUACUUUUAGCAUCUCUAAGCCUCAGGUAUUUGUGUGACAUCACUCUAUGAAAGGGUUCUCAAACUUUUCCAUGUCAGUUACUCCAUUACUGACCACUUACAAAAUGAAGACUACAGCGCAUAAAAAGUAAUGUUUUGAUGAUGCCAUAUCAUAAUUCGAUUUUUUAACACAAUUUGAAAACUCUAGCUGCUCUUUACAUUUGUGUAAACGUUUCAUGAUGAAUGGACCAAUAAAAUGGUCUAAAAUGAUUUCUUCCUACAAAAAAUUCACUAUGUUAACGUUCCUUAAGGUUAAGAAUUUUUUGUCCUUCUCCUGAAAAGUGAUCAUUUCAUUGAGGCAGAAGCGAUUUAUUUGUACAUUAAAGUACUGAUAUUACUCUUUAUGUCUCCCUUGAACUAUACAGAAAGCAAGGCCACAUAGCCUUGAAAAGGAGGCCAGUCUGAUAAAAUUCAUCUUCUGUCCAAAUUGAGAAUGAACCUUCAGCUUAUUGUAGAAUUAAUUUGUGGUUCUUUUUUAAGACCCUCAGUAAGUAUGAGAAUGCAUGAGAGUCCAUUUUAUUUUAUUUAUUUUUUUCUCAAGCAUUUUGAAUAUGGGAAAGAUAACUAAUAAUAAAAUAAUGAGUAAAAAAAAUGAUGAACGGCACUUUUUUAUGUGAAUAGAACAGGCAGCUGCUGGCACUUCAGUUGUACACGUAAAUAGCUAAAGAAACAUUUGUAAAAAGCUUUUUUAGCUUUUGUACGUGAUUGAGUCAAAUAAUUAAAUCUGUCAACUCCUUUUGAAGUUAAUGAAAAUGGGAGCCCAUUAAUACGCAUAUAUAUUUUAACUAAUUAUUAUAUUUGAAACAAACACUUCCAUUGUGGUACAUAUAUAGCACCAAAAAGAGUUAUUAUAACAAGCUUGACAUCAUAACAAUGGUAGAACCCUUUUUGGGUUUAUAUAGAACCCAUGGUUCUGAAUAGAACCAUUGCCUUUGCUAAAGGCUAAAAUGUGACACUGAUUUUAUACUUUAAGCUAUACGUAAUAGGAACACUUUGUGCUUUGGAAACAAGCAAUAUUGUAUCCAGGUUAGAGUACAACAAUGAAUACAUUGAAGAAAGGAACAACUUUGAGAAAUAUUGAUGUUGCAUUUUCAACAUUUGUCCAGAAGAGGGCUCCCUAACACAGUUUUAUUGCAUCCAUUGUGGAAGGAAAUCAUAUCCCAUACAACUGUGGAGUCAAAUAUCAGUUAUAUGUUUUAUUUAUGAGGUGUUAAUAGCUCACAAAAACAGAUGAAGUAUGCACUUUAAUUUGAUUUAAUGAACUGUUUCUAGUUUUUAAUGUGUCAGUAACUAUCUGCAUAUUGUUUAUUAAUAAAGCAUGGAGCGUGGCACUUAACCUCUAUUAUCACAAUAAAUUAUCCAAAAUAAAGGAUGGACAGUUAGUUGAACAGUGCUCUCAAGCUGAAAUGACUUUAGAUAUCAAAAGCUAAAUCCAUGAAUUCAGCAAAUUAUUCCACUGAUUCUCAAUCUCACAUUCAGAGGGGAGUGUGUCUUGAAAGGGGCCUCGAACAAAUCUUAAUCAAGAUCUUUAUCAGCAAAUUGGCCAUGGCAUGCUAAUUAAUGUGUUGUCAUUGCCAAGGAUGUCAGUGUCCAGAUGGUUGACUUGAGUGCAACAAUCAAAAAAUGUCUUCAACUGUGGAUUAGACAAUUGGAUGUCAUGUUGAAGAGUUAACAAGAUCACUAAAAUCACUCUUGUUUUAUAGUCGCUCUGUUUUUAAUUGUCUACAUCUAAAUAUACAGAAAUUCUGAGCUCAGACUUCUCAGGGUCAGAGUGCUUAUUUGGGUUCUUUAUUUACUUAAAAUGAUCUAAUGUAAGAUUCUGUGUACGUAUAUGAUGUGAUUAUAUGAGAUUAGGGAAGGAGUUGGAUUGAUACUAGAUCAGUACUUUUAUUUUGAGCCACUUGAUAUGUAUAGGUCUUGACUGAAUUUCAAAACAUGCAGGUGGAGACCUUUAUUCUACCCUUCAUAUAGUUACACUGCUUAAUGCCCAUUUUGUCAACAAAAGCAAAACAUGACAAACUAGACAAUUAUGUUCCUACCAAAAUGAUGUGCCUUUGAUAACUGGGAGGUGAACCAGAAUAAAACAUUCUCAGUUGAUUGCAUUCAAAAAAUGCCUAAGUACAUCAAACCACCCCAAUGGGUAACUGAGAGGCUGGCAUUUUGUUGAAAUGAAUGUAAUGUGAUGUUUUGACUAAAAACAAACUGAGGAUACUCUCUGAUGCUAAAUGCUAAUGAUACAUUUUUUUUCUAUGAACUUUACAGGACAAUUUUUUUAAUAAAAAUGGAAAGACAAUGUAAAUUACUACUUUUUUAUUGCACUUACUAUUAGUGUUCAAGAUUUUGUGAGAAGUAAAACCUUUUCUAUUUAUUAUUGUUUCAUCAGAUCUGGACUAAAAUAUUUCACAACAAAUUCACUACGUAUUAGAUAUUUUAAUUACAUUUUAAUGUAAUUUUAAUUAUGCUGUUCUUUAUACACAUGAAAAUUGAAAAUGAAAAAAAAGCAGUUUAAGAGCCUCUAUGGUGUCACAGCAUUAUAAAGUUCACAAUAGAAAAUUCAUGUGUCUCACCAACUACAUUUGUGAGUAGACUUUUUUCUGUAUGUGUUACCACAAAUGACACAUAUAUUUGGCGUUUCAUGUCUUUAAUAAAUGUUUUGUUUUAUUAUCUACAUGCACUUUAGAGAUGUGUAGUUCCCAGGAGCUGUGGCGGUUUUGGGGCAUUCAGUAAGUGUGGAUAUUGAGCGAAGGAUGAUGUGUGUUUCUGUGUGUGUGUAUUUGUGUUUUGAGUGUGUGUGUGUGUGUGUGUGUGUGUGUGUGUGCAUAUGUUCGGCGACAGCUGUGACCCAGAAAUAAGGCCGUUGUCUUGUCGCGGUGUGGCGAGUUGCCCACAGUCCAGAACGCUGUUCAUAUAGAGGAAUUUCAUUUGAGACAGUGAUUACAGCCCAAGAUCAAAAUACGAUAAGGUCUGUGGGAAAACAUUAUGCUGGAACUCUUGAAUGGAGUGCUCGGUGUGUGUUGUUUUAAAGGGAAUGCUGGGAUUUCGCUCUGAAUCCACACACAACAUUGACAGAUGCGGAGAUGGGAUCCCACUUGCAGGGAGACAAACUACAGCAUUGAUUCUGCACUCGGCAUUAGCUGACUGUAUUUGGAAAUAAGGCCCCUGGCACCCGACCGUUCACCAUUGGAUAACGGCAGGUCUGUGAGUAGGGGAAGACGCCUCCCCCCUCAAUUCCACCCUCGGCUCUGGGGCGACGGCGGAUAGCAGGGGGGCAACUAGAGCUGCUUUUUACCCCAGGAGGAGCUCCCCCCCACUGGCAUGCUGGCCCGCUCAGCCACCUCCCCGCUGACCAGGUGAAAGGGACGGCUCGCCAGGGACCUGGCUGCCUCGCAUUCCGCCACACGCCGAAUGGCUCUCUCACCGGGAACACAGGCUGAGUGCUGUGUUGAACACUACUAUUCAUGAACUACAAUAGUGUCGUCAUUGUCGGCAGUGAUAUUUGAAGGCUGAUUAUUAAAUCUAAAUUUAUGCAUGCAGAUUCAGGUUGGUGAAGGUGAAGUGAAAUAGAUUUUGCUUUGUCUGUCACCGUCAUGAUAGCAUUUGGAUUCAGACUCAAAAGUGCAGUACAGAGUAUUACUGACUUAUUAAUGUACCUGCAUGUGUUUAGUGAUAAUGGCUAUAUAUCGUUGCUAUUGGAAAAAAAAAGUGUCUCCAAAAUGGGAAUGUUAACUGUACUUUUAAUGUAAUUUAAAGUAAACAGAUCUUAUUAUAAGCAAUUUUGGAGCAUUUACAGUGGUUCAUUCAUCGUGAAUUUUUACACAAUAAAAA